rnacentral:rRNA from 1 species
UACGGGGGGAGCAAGCGUUGUUCGGAUUUACUGGCGUAAAGGGCGCGUAGGCGGCCACCGCAAGUCGACUGUGAAAUCUCCGGGCUUAACCCGGAAAGGUCAGCCGAUACUGCGGGCUAGAGUGCAGAAGGGGCAACUGGAAUUCUCGGUGUAGCGGUGAAAUGCGUAGAUAUCGAGAGGAACACCUGCGGCGAAGGCGGGUGCUGGGCUGACACUGACGCUGAGGCGCGAAAGCGUGGGGAGCAAACAGG